rnacentral:rRNA from 1 species
AGAGUUUGAUCCUGGCUCAGGAUGAACGCUGGCGGCGUGCCUAACACAUGCAAGUCGAACGAAGCACCUUUUAAGAUUCUUCGGAUGAUUGAUUGGUGACUGAGUGGCGGACGGGUGAGUAACGCGUGGGUAACCUGCCCUGUACAGGGGGAUAACAGCUGGAAACGGCUGCUAAUACCGCAUAAGCGCACGAGGAGACAUCUUCUUGUGUGAAAAACUCCGGUGGUACAGGAUGGGCCCGCGUCUGAUUAGCUGGUUGGCAGGGUAACGGCCUACCAAAGCAACGAUCAGUAGCCGGUCUGAGAGGAUGAACGGCCACAUUGGAACUGAGACACGGUCCAAACUCCUACGGGAGGCAGCAGUGGGGAAUAUUGCACAAUGGGGGAAACCCUGAUGCAGCAACGCCGCGUGAGUGAAGAAGUAUUUCGGUAUGUAAAGCUCUAUCAGCAGGGAAGAUAAUGACGGUACCUGACUAAGAAGCUCCGGCUAAAUACGUGCCAGCAGCCGCGGUAAUACGUAUGGAGCAAGCGUUAUCCGGAUUUACUGGGUGUAAAGGGUGCGUAGGUGGCAGUGCAAGUCAGAUGUGAAAGGCCGGGGCUCGACCCCGGAGCUGCAUUUGAAACUGCUCGGCUAGAGUACAGGAGAGGCAGGCGGAAUUCCUAGUGUAGCGGUGAAAUGCGUAGAUAUUAGGAGGAACACCAGUGGCGAAGGCGGCCUGCUGGACUGUUACUGACACUGAGGCACGAAAGCGUGGGGAGCAAACAGGAUUAGAUACCCUGGUAGUCCACGCCGUAAACGAUGGAU